CCGGGGAAAUUGCAGCUUUUGCUGCCCUAUUGGAUAACUUCGCUAACGCGAAGCUAAUACAUGUAAGCACAGCGAGCAAUCCUUACGGCCGGUUUACCGGUUCGAUUGUCUCGUGCUAAUGGUUGGAACAAAGACCACCGCCAGCAAUGGCAGUUUUUUGUAAAGCGUUGACUCAAACCAUUUAGCAAAAGCAUGCUUCGGCAUGCGUGCCCCGAUGAAUUUCUGACCUAUCAGCUUUGACGGUAGUGUAGUGGACUACCGUGGCGAUCACGGGUACGGGGAAUUAGGGUUCGAUUCCGGAGAGGGAGCCUGAGAAACAGCUACCACUUCUACGGAGGGCAGCAGGCGCGUAAAUUGCCCAAUGCCAAAUUUGGUGAGGCAGCGAAGAGAAAUAGCGACCCAGACCUUCGGGUAUGGGAUCGGAAUGAGUGGUAUUUAAAACCACCAACGAGUAACAAUUGGAGGACAAGUCUGGUGCCAGCACCCGCGGUAAUUCCAGCUCCAAUAGCGUAUAUUAAUGUUGUUGCUGUUAAAGGGUUCGUAGUUGAACGCAGGGUUUGGGAGUUGUGUGGCCAUUGUGGCCAUCACGCCAUCCCAUCCCUGUUUUUUAGACGGGAUCGAUUGCCUUGCCUUGGUGGCUCCUUUUUUGGACGUUGCCUUGGCUGUUGAGUGAAGAGCUCAAAUGUACACAUGACCACAUGUUACAGGCCGCCCGUCGUUAUCACUGUGAAGAAAACAGCGUGUUCAAGGCAGCCGCCUCGCGGCUGAAUGACAAAGCAUGGAAUGACAAAGCAUCGACCAAUGGGUCUGGCUUUUGUUGGUUUUUACAACCCAUUUGGACAUUUCGUGAUCGGUAAUCGCGAUCCACUUCGGUGGACUCCGAUUCCGAGCAGACACGGGAUUAAUGGGGG
rnacentral:rRNA from 1 species